GGGGCAUUCCACUCCAGAAGCGGGUAUCAUAAUUCAUCAGAGAAUAAAUUGUUAUGCUUGAAUCAAGUUUGUUUUGUCAAAUGUACCAUGAGUUGAAGCCUGAACGCAGGGCGUGCAUUAUAGCGAUCGACUUCUUGAAUUCCCCGCUGGUCCCUUACCAACAAUCCCAGAAUUCAAUGCGCAUGGUGUGUUACGGACGGGCUGGAUCGACGAAGCCGCCAAGGACUCUUCCAGUUGAAAAGAUGCACGUGUAUGGCGACAAGCGACUACUUUCAGCUCUCACUACAGUGCUAAUAUCUCUGCAUCCUGAAAAGCUAAGAAAAGAGAAGGACGUGGUCGAGGAAAAGCCCAAGUCAAAAGAAUAUAUUCUUUGCAGAUGACCUAAGGCAGCGGCUGGACUACAGUAAGAGGCAAGGAGACUAUGUGGUCAAAAACAUCUAUGAGAAGAAUCAGGACUACACUUUCAAAAAGAAAGGUGU